GGGGAGGCUCUAUGGCUCAGUGGUAGAGCAUCUGCCUUGCAUGCAGAAAGUCCCAGGUUCAAUUCCUGGCUUCUCCA